rnacentral:rRNA from 1 species
CCUACGGGUGGCAGCAGUGGGGGAUAUUGCACAAUGGGGGGAACUCUGAUGCAGCGACGCCGCGUGGGUGAAGGAGCGUUUCGGCGCGUAAAGCCCUAUCGGCAGGGAAGAAGGAGGACGGUACCUGACUAAGAAGCCCCGGCUAACUACGUGCCAGCAGCCGCGGUAAUACGUAGGGAGCGAGCGUUGUCGGGAAUUACGGGGUGAAAAGGGAGCGUAGGCGGGGAUGCAAGUUGGGUGUAAAAACUACCGGCUAAACUGGUAGUCGCACUCAAAACUGCAGCUCUUGAGUGAAGUAGAGGCAGGCGGAAUUCCUAGUGUAGCGGUGAAAUGCGUAGAUAUUAGGAGGAACACCAGUGGCGAAGGCGGCCUGCUGGGCUUUUACUGACGCUGAGGCUCGAAAGUGUGGGGAGCAAACAGGAUUAGAUACCCGUGUAGUC